GGUCCUCCCUUUGCAGCGCGUGCGGGGCCGUCUCGGAGAUCCCGCGUCGACGGCUGCUCAAACAUCAGGAGCACAGGCUCCAGACGCGCAGGCUCAGCGGCCAUGGCUCACAGGCCUAGGCACUCCGCGGUAUGUGGGAUCUUCCCGGACCGGGGCACGAACCCGCGUCCCGUGCAUCGACAGGCGGACUCUCAACCACUGCGCCACCAGGGAAGCCCUGUUUUGUACAGUUUUUUAAAGUUGGCCCCCAAAAGGACCCUCCCCACAUCCCCAGCUGGGGGCCCUGCGUAGAGCUGGAGUGGACGCCCCCUCCUUCCCUUCAUGAUUCGUUUGUAGCGCAGUGGCGAUGGAUGAUGAGGAUGGGAGAUGCUUACUAGACGUGAUUUGUGACCCUCAGGCCCUCAAUGACUUCUUACAUGGAUCUGAGAAGAGGUGGGCCGGCCCA